rnacentral:rRNA from 1 species
UUAUGGCCACAUCAUGUUGAAAUACCAGUUCCUAUACAAUGACCAAAGUUAAGCAACAUUGAGCCUGAACAGUACCUAGAUGGGUGACUGCUUGGGAAUACCAGGUGCUGUAAG